UCUUAUUCUUAAAUAAAUAAAUUCCUAAGUUAGUAGUAGUUAUUUACUUAAAAAUUAAAAAAUUUGGCGGUAAUUUAAUCUUUCCAGAGGAACUUGUUUUUUAAUCGAUAAACCGCGAAAAAUCUUGCUUAUUAACAGUAAAGUUUGUAUACCGUCAUUAUUAGGUAAUUUUGAAAAAAUUAAUUACUAAAAAUAAAGGAUUAUAGAAAUUAGAUCAAGGUGCAGCUUAUAAAUAAGUUAAAAUGAGUUACAAUAAAAUUUUUUAUUAUGGAUAAAUAGAAGAAUUUUUAUUUUAAAGGUGGAUUUGGUUGUAUUUAAAGUUUAAUAUGCUUUGGAGAUAGUAGCUCUAAAUUAUGUACAUAU
rnacentral:rRNA from 2 species